UGCCAGCAGCCGCGGUAAUACGAAGGGACCUAGCGUAGUUCGGAAUCAUUGGGUUUAAAGGGUCCGCAGGCGGACGUAUAAGUCAGUGGUGAAAUCCUGCAGCUUAACUGCAGAACUGCCAUUGAUACUGUACGUCUUGAAUUCGGUCGAAGUGGGCGGAAUGUGUAGUGUAGCGGUGAAAUGCAUAGAUAUUACACAGAACACCGAUAGCGAAGGCAGCUCACUAGGCCCGGAUUGACGCUCAGGGACGAAAGCGUGGGGAUCAAACAGGAUUAGAUA
rnacentral:rRNA from 1 species